AAAGAGCAGGCAUAGUACACCAAUUAAAAAGGUUCCCCCGUGAGCGCAUUAUCUCCCGCUAGAGGAGCUGUACUAAGCGCAACUUUAACCUUCAAACUUCCGUCAACAAUACAGGAAGCAUUUUGAUUACAUGACAAAGAGUACAAAAUUAUCAUUCCUAAUUUUACAUUGUACUCUUUAUUACCAACUUUGUUGUUUUUCUUGCCAUUUUAAACGCAAAAUAGCGUUCAGCAUCAUCGACCUCCCACGUGACCUCUAGCCUAGAUUUAAAAUGUUUCCCGGUAUGUUCGCGUUCGCGGCAGGUACGGAUUCUUUGGUUCGUACAUCGGUUGGUUAUUUUGUGCUGAAAUCAGUUUGUUGCGCUUCAAUAUCUCGCGCUAUUUAACUUUGGAUGUAAGCCCGAAAGCUAGGUUUCAGUCGUGAGCCAUGUGGAGCACGUCUGCAUCGAAAUGAGAGCGCGAUCCUGCAGCGACUGGGGAUGGCAAUACCGGUGAAUCGUUUAACAUCGCUGCUUCAAUCGCUAUGUAGUAUAUGCGUAUCGUUAACUUACAGGCGGAGGCAAGUUAACGAACUAGCUGCUGCAGUACAUAUGGGCAGCCAAGACCCUCCGUUGCUGUUUCCGAAAUAAACUUUCAGUUGCGAAGCCAUCAUUAUACACACAUUCAUGAAAGACAAAGCGAUAUCAGACCGCGCGUCACAUUUUCCAUAUCGUUGUAGCCGUAGCCAUGUGUGACUGAGUAGCCUUAUCAAUGUAUUCUUUUUUUUAGUUUGCCGGCAACUUCUUUCAUCCACAGAACCGGUAACCCUUUGAUAAACUGAAGCUAAAGUACUGAAUUUAAUGUAUUAAACAGUCGCACAUAGGAUAAUUCACCCAUAUUUCGCACCUGUUGUUUCCAAAUGUUCUUGCUAUUCAGUUUGGUUUACCUGAGGACAUUUAUUUUUGUAGUAGUGAAGGGGUGCAUCACGUUCAUGCAGAAAAAGAAUGCAUCAUUUCUAAUUGCUUCAUGUCUUUCACACAUUUGCUUGUGAAACCAGCAGUAAAAAUAAAUGAGCGCACAAAUGUUCUCAUUUGCGAUCCUAAUAAUACUUAAGCUGUGGACUUGCAUUGUAGUUAGGCAGACAUCAAUUCUGUGGAGAGUAGCAAUAUUUAUUUACCGUGCUGCUAAGCACCCUAGAACAUACAAUGUACAUUUGCAUGUGUUCUGUAGUCACAAACCAUUACAAUGUAUAUGUCGCACCUUUUCGCAUUUCAUAUUGCAAAAUUGUGCUUAUUCAAUUUCUGAUGCAGCCAAAACUUCUGUUCCAGACAUGCAGUAAUGAGGACGGCAGUAGUAUAAAGCAACACACUCCAUGCACUAAACAGAAGCUGCUGCCUGCGACAACAAGGUCAUUGUGGGGACUGUGGCUGCUAAUAUAAGUCUGUGCCAAGUACAUCUUGGUCAUCACGGAAGCCCCCAUCUACACCAACAGGAAGGGGCUGGAGCCGAAUUCGCAAGGCUUUACACCACGAAGAAGCCAUUCCAGAAUUAUUUGGAUGAGAUAUCAAGUCUACGGACGACUGCGCCAAGAAUGAAAAGAGCCUCCGCCAGUGAAAAGAGCCUCCGCCAUCAUUGCACCAGCACGGAUACUGGCCGAGUCAUCCAGGUACCUCAACAAGAAAAAUUCUGUGUCUUCAGAAGUACCUGCAACCUCUGAACAAGCAGAGACGACGCUGGCCAAAAGGGUUCCGUCAGCUUGCCCUUCCUUAAUGAGCUUCCUGGCCUUGCCAAAUUCCAUUUGUGCCAAGUAUAAUUUUUUUCGAUAAAUGCAAUCUUUUUUAUUCCACAUUGUUGUUAAGAUCAUUCCUCUUCCUCAUCCAAACACUAAAGGUCUACCGAUUCUUUGCUCAUACUUAACAGUCACUGUCUAGAAGCAUAACAUAUCUGUAGCAGUACAUUCUAGUGUACGUUGCGAUGUGCAAUUCCUCUCCUGAAAUAGCUGAUGCGGCAUUGGCGUGUGUCUUGCAUUAACCUUUGCACCAUGAGCUAUGUAGCAUUUACCUUAAUGUUUUUGGCUUUCAGUGCUUGCAAGGUAGAGUGGCUUCUUUCUUGAAUGCAAGCUUUCUCAUUUCCAUAUUUAAUUCGUAGUCUCAUUCAGGAUUGCUAUUUUUGCUCGACAGCCUGUGUUUUUGCGCAAGCUACAUUGAAGUGAUUGAUUGCAGAAUCUGGUUUCGCUGCUGUCCGACCUUGUAGUUGUCACCGUGUUACGUUUCUCGCAUGUUGAAGCCUGGUCAGUUACACUGGGAAACAGUCUCUCGAGGCAAGCACCUGCUCCUACAGUCCGCACAGUGACAUAGACUGCGAAUUUACACGCACCGUGGUUGGUGCUCACCGUUCCGUCCUUUCCUGCUGCUGCUGCGUGCAAAUUUUGCUUGUGGCCUUCCUCGGUCAUGAUUUAGUGUCAACGGAGGCUGUCAUACGUGAUUACAUGGUUUUAAGUGUAUGAAGUUGAUAUCCACAUGUGUGGAAAGGCCUGCAAAAGUGGCUGCAAAAUGGUGAUGCCCAUGAAACCGACCAUGGCCAUAUUUAAUGAAUGUGGGGCACCAAGUAUGAGUUACACAUUAGUGGCAUGCGAAAUAACAAAAAAAAAAAACGUGCAGGAAACGUGCAGAAAGGCGGUAACGCAAAAGGCCGGGCACUCCACGUCGCUGUGUUGGCUGGGGCAGCAGACGCUUGCGUCACCCGAUUGCUUCGUAAUGCAAGUUGCUCAUCUUCAACGGUGACUGUCGGUGCAAACACGUGGGACACACUGUCCAAUCUGCUUGCGCUGCUGAUUGUUGCUUGUUACCAGACUACCAUGUGCGACGACGGCAAGCACUAUGCCUACUGUCGAACGGUUGAAUGUGCCGCAAGCGACGCGUGUGCGUGUACGCUCACUGUUGUCAUGUGGAUCGUAGCCAAUGUAUAGUGUAUUGUGCCAAUGUAUAGAUCCAGCGUUAUGUUAGAGUAUGCUGAACUGAUUUGAUUGCAGAGUCUUGUUUCCAUGCUGUCCCACUUGGUCAUGGUUGCCGUGUUACAUUUCUCGGAUGUGGCGGCCUGGUCGGUUGCAUUGGGCAAUGGCCUCUCGCGGUAAGCACCUGCUCCUGCAGUCCGCACAGCGACAUAGACUCCCUGUUUACAUGUAUUGUGAUUGGUGCUCUCUGUUCGUCCUUUCCUGAUGCAGCCGUGGAUAAAGUGUGCUUGUGGCCUUCUUCGGCCGCGAUUUUGCGUGAACGGAGACUAUCAUGCAUGAUUACCUGGUUUGAAGUGUAUGAAGUUGAUAUCCACAUGGGUGGAAAGGUGGAAAUUCCCGCAAAACAGACCAUGUCCAUAUUGCGAGCAGGUGGGGCACCAAGUGUGAGCGAUACAUCAGCGACCACCGAAAGAACAAAAAGAAAGGUGCAGGUAGGAAAGGAGGUAACGCUAGAACGCCGGGUAGUUCAUGUCGCUGUCUUGGCUAUUGGCAGCAGGUGCCUGCGUCACCCGAUUGAUUCGCAGUGCAAUCUACGGCGACUGUCAAUGCAAACAGGUGGCGCACUCUCCAAUCUGCUUGCGCUGACGGUAGUCACUCGUUACUAGACCACCAUGUGCGACGUAGUCAAGCACUGUGCGUGAAGUCGGAUACCUGAAUGGGCUGUAAACGACCUGUAGUGCGUGAGUGCCCACUGUUGUCAUGUGGAUCUUCGCCAAUGUACAGUGUAUUGUCUGUACCUUAUGCGGUGAUUGAAUGCCGAGUCUCAUUUGAUAAUAGUCGCCGUGUUAUGUUUCUUAGAUGUGGUGACCUCGCCAGCUGCAUGGGCAACAGUCUCUCGAGGUAACCAAUCGCUCCUGCAGUGCACACAGCGAGAAUGACUCCCGAUUUACAUGCACCGUAAUUGGUGCUCUCCCCUUUCGGUCUUUCCUGCUUUCCUGCUUGUGAGCUUUCCUGCUUGUGAUCAUGCUUGUGGGCCUUCAUCGGCCGUGAUGUGGCGUGAAUGGAAACCAGCACACGUGAUAACAUGGUACGAAGUGUAUGAAGCUGAUAGCCACAUUUGGAAAGGCCUGCAAUAGUGGCUGCAAAAUGGUGAUGCCCAUAUUGAGAAUGUGGCGCACAAAGUACGAGUUACACAUUAGCGGCCCCCGAAAGAACAAAAAGAAACGUGCAGGUUGGAAAGCAGGUAACGCUAAAUUGCCGGGUAGUCCAUGUCGCUGUGUUUGCUGCCGCAGCAGAGGCUUCGCGUCACCCGAUUGCUUCGCAAUGCAAGUUACGGCUACUGUCGAUGCAAACAGGUGGGGCACUGCCCAAUUUUCUUGCGCUGCUGAUUGUCGCUCGUUACAAGACCGCCAUAUGUGACGACAAAAGUGAGCAGUUUACGAGCUCUGCGUUAAUGGUGUAAGCGCAUCUCGACAUGCAAAUUUAUUUCUGCUCUUGUACGAGAAGGUGCACUGCUUUUCUUCUGCCAAUAAAGUCGCACGUCCUAUUCA